AGAGUUUGAUCCUGGCUCAGGACGAACGCUGGCGGCACGCUUAACACAUGCAAGUCGAACGAGAGAAGAGGAGCUUGCUUUUCUGAUCAAGCGGCGGACGGGUGAGUAACACGUGAGCAAUCUGCCUUUCAGAGGGGGAUACCGAUUGAAACGAUCGUUAAUACCGCAUAACAUAAUUGAACCGCAUGAUUUGAUUAUCAAAGAUUUAUCGCUGAAAGAUGAGCUCGCGUCUGAUUAGCUAGUUGGUAAGGUAACGGCUUACCAAGGCGACGAUCAGUAGCCGGACUGAGAGGUUGAUCGGCCACAUUGGGACUGAGACACGGCCCAGACUCCUACGGGAGGCAGCAGUGGGGAAUAUUGCACAAUGGAGGAAACUCUGAUGCAGCGAUGCCGCGUGAGGGAAGAAGGUUUUAGGAUUGUAAACCUCUGUCUUCAGGGACGAAAAAAGACGGUACCUGAGGAGGAAGCUCCGGCUAACUACGUGCCAGCAGCCGCGGUAAUACGUAGGGAGCGAGCGUUGUCCGGAAUUACCGGGUGUAAAGGGAGCGUAGGCGGGAUCGCAAGUCAGAUGUGAAGACUAUGGGCUUAACCCAUAAACUGCAUUUGAAACUGUGGUUCUUGAGUGAAGUAGAGGUAAGCGGAAUUCCUAGUGUAGCGGUGAAAUGCGUAGAUAUCAGGAGGAACAUCAGUGGCGAAGGCGGCUUACUGGGCUUUAACUGACGCUGAGGCUCGAAAGCGUGGGGAGCAAACAGGAUUAGAUACCCUGGUAGUCCACGCCGUAAACGAUGAUUACUAGGUGUGGGGGGACUGACCCCUUCCGUGCCGCAGCAAACGCAAUAAGUAAUCCACCUGGGGAGUACGACCGCAAGGUUGAAACUCAAAGGAAUUGACGGGGGCCCGCACAAGCAGUGGAGUAUGUGGAUUAAUUCGAAGCAACGCGAAGAACCUUACCAGGUCUUGACAUCGUAUGCAUAGCUCAGAGAUGAGUGAAAUCUCUUCGGAGACAUAUAGACAGGUGGUGCAUGGUUGUCGUCAGCUCGUGUCGUGAGAUGUUGGGUUAAGUCCCGCAACGAGCGCAACCCUUACUGUUAGUUGCUACGCAAGAGCACUCUAGCAGGACUGCCGUUGACAAAACGGAGGAAGGUGGGGAUGACGUCAAAUCAUCAUGCCCCUUAUGACCUGGGCCUCACACGUACUACAAUGGCUGUCAACAGAGGGAAGCAAAGCCGCGAGGUGGAGCGAACCCCUAAAAGCAGUCUUAGUUCGGAUUGUAGGCUGCAACCCGCCUACAUGAAGUCGGAAUUGCUAGUAAUCGCAGAUCAGCAUGCUGCGGUGAAUACGUUCCCGGGCCUUGUACACACCGCCCGUCACGCCAUGGGAGUCGGUAACACCCGAAGCCUGUAGUCUAACCGCAAGGAGGACGCAGUCGAAGGUGGGAUUGAUGACUGGGGUGAAGUCGUAACAAGGUA
rnacentral:rRNA from 1 species